GAUUGAAUUUCUGCCCUAUCAACUUUGUUGGCAGUGUAGUGGACUGCCAAGGUUUUAACGGGGUAACGGGGGAUCAGGGUUCGAUUCCGGAGAGGGAGCGUGAGAAACGGCUACCACAUCCAAGGAAGGCAGCAGGCGCGCAAAUUACCCAAUCCAGACAAUGGGAGGUGGUGACGAAAAGUACCGGAUGGCGACAUUGUUGCCAGUCUGGAAUGAAAACAAUUUAAGCAAUUGAAUUGAGUAACGACUGGAGGGCAAGUCUGGUGCCAGCAGCCGCGGUAAUUCCAGCUCCAGUGGCGUAUCUCAAAGUUGCUGCGCUUAAAACGCUCGUAGUUGGAUCACUCACUACAAAUCGGUGUGCUUUGCUGUGGUGCAUUUCUGAAAACACAUUGAGAAAUCAGUGUCCCUGUUCGGAUGCACUGCAGCGGGUUUUUUAGCCGAUUUGUAGUAAUUGCACGUGAGGAUGGUCGUUGACCUUGAGUGCGUUGAUGACUGUGUCUCACGGGGUGUGCCUUGAGUAAAUCAGAGUGCUUAAAGCAGGCGUAACGCUUGAAUGUUGAUAGCAUGGAACGAACAAUCGUGUAUGGUGUGCAUUGAUAACGGUUGCAUUUAUUGCCACUGCAAUGCAUGACACCGACCACCAAUUACGUAUGUUGGUUACGUAUUGGGGUACUGAUUAAGAGGAGCGGUUGGGGGCAUUGGUAUUUGGCAGCGAGAGGUGAAAUUCUUGGACCUGCCAAGGACUAACAAAUGCGAAGGCAUCUGUCCAGACCGUAUCUAUUAAUCAAGAACGAAAGAGAGAGGUUCGAAGACGAUCAGAUACCGUCCUAGUUCUCUCUGUAAACUAUGCCGACCCGGGAUCAGUUUGGAGUUAAUUUGUCCACGCUCGGAGUUGGUCCCCCUGGGAAACCUAAAGUUUUUCGGUUGCGGGGGGAGUAUGGUCGCAAGGCUGAAACUUAAAGGAAUUGACGGAAGGGCACCACCAGGGGUGGAGCCUGCGGCUUAAUUUGACUCAACACGGGAAAACUUACCUGAUCCGAACAUUUUAAGGAUAAACAGAUUGCAG
rnacentral:rRNA from 1 species